rnacentral:rRNA from 1 species
GUGGGGAAUAUUGGACAAUGGGCGAAAGCCUGAUCCAGCCAUGCCGCGUGUGUGAAGAAGGUCUUCGGAUUGUAAAGCACUUUAAGUUGGGAGGAAGGGCAGUAAGUUAAUACCUUGCUGUUUUGACGUUACCAACAGAAUAAGCACCGGCUAACUUCGUGCAAGCAGCCGCGGUAAUACGAAGGGUGCAAGCGUUAAUCGGAAUUACUGGGCGUAAAGCGCGCGUAGGUGGUUCAGCAAGUUGAAGGUGAAAUCCCCGGGCUCAACCUGGGAACUGCCUCCAAAACUACUGAGCUAGAGUACGGUAGAGGGUAGUGGAAUUUCCUGUGUAGCGGUGAAAUGCAUAGAUAUAGGAAGGAACACCAGUUGCGAAGGCGACUACCUGGACUGAUACUGACACUGAGGUGCGAAAGCGUGGAGAGCAAACAGGAUUAGAAACCCUAGUAGUCC